GAUGAACGCUGGCGGCGUGCCUAAUACAUGCAAGUCGAGCGAACAGACGAGGAGCUUGCUCCCUUGACGUUAGCGGCGGACGGGUGAGUAACACGUAGGUAACCUACCUAUAAGACUGGGAUAACUUCGGGAAACCGGUGCUAAUACCGGAUAAUAUUUCGAACCGUAUGGUUCGAUAGUGAAAGAUGCCUUUGCUACCACUAAUAGAUGGACCGGCGUCGUAUUAGCUAGUUGGUAAGGUAACGGCUUACCAAGGCAACGAUCCGUAGCCGACCUGAGAGGGUGAUCGGCAACACUGGAACUGAGACACGGUCCAGACUCCUACGGGAGGCAGCAGUGGGGAAUCUUGGGCAAUGGGCGAAAGCCUGACGGAGCAACGCCGCGUGGGUGAUGAAGGUCUUCGGAUCGUAAAACUCUGUUGUUGGGGAAGAACAACCGUGGAAGUAACUGUGCACGUCUUGACGGUACCUAAUCAGAAAGCCACGGCUAACUACGUG
rnacentral:rRNA from 1 species